CUCUAAAAGAUGACAUGUUUUGCAUUAUUCAUACUGGAAUCAUGGCCUCUUUGGGCAAUAUAACAUAGUUUCCUGAUUUCAGGGGCCCAGUUGCAUAGUCCUUUAGCCUUAAGCUAACAUCUGGUUGUUACAGAAAUUCCUGAGUUGGCACUAAAAAUUCACUUUUCUUCCCUGCCUUAGACAAAUAACAGAUAUGCAUCUGAUUACUAACAAAAAUACCAUGAAGAUACAGGUGGUUAGUAGUAGAUUUAGGAGUUUGGAGAAAGUAUAUUUUUUAAAACGUAUAUACAUACUUAUUCUUUCCUCCUUUUCCACACACUAGGCGAAAAGGUAAAAGCAAUGCAAACUAUCUGUGAAGUUUUUUUGUGUUUAUUACAUUUACUUUAAAGAUUUAAUUGGUCUCAGAAUUUCUGCUCAUGGGUGAAAAUUUGAUUUAAACAAUAUUAUGAUUAAUGGAAUGAAAAGGUAAAAUUAAGCAUGCAUAAUUAUAUAAUAUAAAUUUGUAAUUUUAUACUGUAAAUAUUCUUCAGUUAAAUAUAGCAAUUCCUAAAGCUUUACUAACAGCUAUAAUAAUAACAUUUGCUAUUUUCUAAGUUGUUUAUAGACCAAGAGAAUUAGCCUGGAUUGAUAAUACACUCCAAUUCAUUGAAGAGUUUUACUAAGAGUGAUUUGACAAAAAGAUGUUCAUACAAGAACUUGUGAUAAGAGGGUACUCAGCAAAAAUGUCCAUCAGAAGGGCACGUUAAAAGGGUGCUGAGAGAACAAGUCACAUACUUCCAAACAAAACUAAAACUGGCUCAAGGGAAGCUUGCUGAAGUAGCAAAAUUGCAUAUAUAACUAUACAUAUCAAUCCCAUAAAUGAAAACUGAAGAAUGUGCUUGCAUGCAAGAAGUGAGUGCAAUGAAAUCUUUUCUAUUUUUAAAUUUUUUUAUAUUUAUUUCUGCUUUGUUUACUUCCUUUCAACCAUGCUAACUUAAGUAUCAUUGCUAACUUACCUGCCUCAUUUCUUUAGUCAAGAAUUAAGAACCUGCAAAUGCUUCAUUUACUUCAAAAUCUGGAAUGGAUCUCCCAGUCUGUCUACUAAUAUCAGUCUCUACACUUGGACUUCUUUUGACCUAAGACUUUGAGGAAAGCAAUUAAAUUCAUUUUCUGGAAGUAGAAUUUUUGCUGAUGCAGUCUCCUCAUUGUUAUUUUAUUUAAGACAACAAUGGAAGCAUCUGCAGUAAUUAGAAUCCUUUUAGAGAAGCCAACUCAGCAAAUAGUUUUGUCAAUCUUUCCACAUUUAGUGAUUUUUGCUUUAUUAUUUAGAUAAUUGAUUUUAGUGAUUUAGUUAAUAAACAAUUGCUGAUUUGUCUCCUGUGGAAAAAUUUAGUAAUAUUUCCCUUCUGCGUUAAAUUUACAUCUCUACAACUAUUAAAGAUGAAGUCCUUUUCAACUUACAUGUCUUUCUAAUAGAAAUUGCAUUUACAAAUUAGCUUCUCUUUUCUUUGGGGGCCAGAAUUUUUGUAUUGCUUGUAUAGAGGUAAGAGAAAGGUCAAGACCAUUUGAAAUAUUUUUAAUGCCUCAAAAUAUGGGUAUUUUUCAGUUAUUUACAAAAGAAUAGUCUCGUUGUGAAAAUAGUUGUUCAGAUUGUACGAUACAAAGAAUUUCAAAACUUGAUAGAAAAAGAUCUUAUUCUCAGUAUAUUUUAAUAAUGGAUAUGUUAUUUUCUAAAGUUUCAAAUUAAGGAUGAAUAUAUUAUUAAAUAACAUAGGUCUCUUUCUGUGGCAGAAUUUCCUUAGCAAAAUUAACUUAAAAGAAAUAAUAGAAAAAGAGCUAUUUCGAUAAUGAGUUUUUAUUAGAAUUUUUUUAAGUUAGUAACGUCAGAAUAUUUAAAAACUACAAGGACACUAAGCCUUGAGAUUAUCUGUGGGAUAAAUGUCUCAAAUAAUUAUGAUAGUUCUCAGCAAGUAUGAUUAAAAGAUUAGUAUAGUAGACCCGGGUUGAUCAUAGCAGCAGGAAAUAAAAACAAAUAUGUAAAUAUCUCUAACAUUUUACAUAAAUAUAAAUUUAUCACUUUUUAAAUUGCCUGUUUAUAUGUCUGUUUAUUGCUGUUCAGUCUUGCUUGUGUAAACCACAUCUGAAAUGCAUUAUCUAUUUUUUAUUUUUUAUAGUUUGCUGCUUCAAAAGUAGGCAAGAAGUUAAGAUACUUGUAAAGAAAUGUAUCGUUCAUUCUCAAGCACAGGUGGUACUGCCUCCCUAGAAAUCUGUAGAGGUGUUUUUUAUUUGUCAGCAACAGGAUACAGGGCGUUGCACUAUGACACUUACUAUGUAGAGCUCAGAGAUUAUAAACAUCCUACAAUGGUAGGACAGUCCUAGACAGUGAAGAAUCUUCUGGCCCCAAAUGCCAAUGGCAGUCCCAUUGAGAAGCAGGUACCUUCUCCCAUUAUUUUAGCUUCUUUUUUUCCUUUUAUAGUCUUAUUGCCAUUGCCUAAUUUGUCAACUGCUUUUUGAAGGCACUUAUUGAAAUCUUUCUAAAAGUACAGCUUUUAUUUCCUAGAAACAACCAACCUAUUUUUCUACACAUUUAUAUUUUGCUGACCUAUAUGAUAUUCAAUUAAACAUAUUUUAGAAUAACCAAGAACAGGCUCCCCAUAAAGUAUCAAAUGGUGGAGUAGAAUAAUAUAGGCAUAAACCAAGGGAGAGUGACUGGGAAGAUAUGACAAAAGAAACAAGAGUGCAAAGGAGUAAAUAUUUUCCAAAUUGAGGGGAAAUUGUCAGGUGCAGCAGAUAAGGUUUGUAAGAAAUGAACUGAAAAAUGUUCAUUGGGUUUGGCAGGUAGGAUGCUUUGUUUGCCUUAACAAGAUUAGUUUAAAUAGAGUUGUAGGUCAUGAAACAAACUGUGUAGAUUCAGGCCUGAGUGGUGGGAGAUGAAGUAAAGAAAGCCAAAGUAGUCUCCAUUUUCAAGAAAAUUUUUUAAGAUAUAAAACAUUUGUAUAGACUGAGGGAACAUUAGAGGACAUAUUGCAAAUACUGGAGAUAAGAGAAGAUUAAUAAGCAAGUUCCUCUAAGAGGCAUGACAAGGAUACCCCUGAAGUUUGGAAGAAACUAGAUGACAGUAGAUACAGAUGUUUUCAGGUGGAGAUAGAAAGCAGAAAGCAGAAGAUGCAGCCUGGUAAUCUCAAUUUUCUUUUUAAAUUGGAAGACAGGAUAGUCUCCUUAGGGAGUUUGAGUACGACAGGACAGUGACUGAUGAGCGUUUUGAGGCAAGUACAAGUUUGGGAAAGUCAUUGAGAAAAGUAGGAGAGGAAGUUGACUAAGGACAAAUAAAAGAUGCUAAUAUGCAUAAACAUGUGGUUGUUAAACGCAGGCAUUGCUUGACUACUCUGUGGGGUGGUGGCGGUGGUGGGGGGUGGGUAACAAGCCAGAGAAAUGGUAACUUUGAGUCAGAUUCAUUUGUCUGCAAUGAGGAUGAACUAGUGUAUAUAAAAGAGUCAGACUUGUAAAAGGUUGUUCAUAUUGUCAGUAAUGAGAGAUUUAAGACUGGGAGAAAAUGAAGGUAUUAAGGGACUGAAGAUCAUAAUGAGAAUCAAAAACAGAUCUAUGCAUGAGUAUAAAUGAAUGAAAAAGCUGGAAGGAUUAAAGACACAGUCAGAGUUUAAUACUGGAGUUUAAAAUUUCAGUGAUAAAACAGUUGCAGAUGAUGACAAAGGACCAUAGUGUGGCCAUGAAAUCUAGAAUGUCAGGGAACCAAGAAAAGCUAUCCAACAACCUAGACUGUCCAUUCAAGCUCAUGGCAGAGCUUGAAGU